UACGAAGGGAGCUAGCGUUGUUCGGAAUCACUGGGCGUAAAGCGCACGUAGGCGGAUGUGUCAGUCAGGGGUGAAAUCCCGGAGCUCAACUUCGGAACUGCCUUUGAUACAGCACGUCUUGAGUCCGAUAGAGGUGGGUGGAAUUCCUAGUGUAGAGGUGAAAUUCGUAGAUAUUAGGAAGAACACCCGUGGCGAAGGCGGCUCUCUGGGACGGUACUGACGCUGAGACGCGAAAGCGUGGGGAGCGAACAGG
rnacentral:rRNA from 1 species